CUGGAUCAGGUUGCCAUUUCCUUCUCCAAUGCAUGAAAGUGAAAAGUGAAAGUGAAGUUGCUCAGUCGUGUCUGACUCUUAGUGACCCCAUGGACUGCAGCCUACCAGGCUCCUCCGUCCAUGGGAUUUUCCAGGCAAGAGUACUGGAGUGGGGUGCCACUGCCUUCUCCAACAGACAAGAAUGCUGAGGGCUCACCUGGGGGCCGAGGAGCUGGCGGAGACGGAGCCUGGCUGCCCAGAAGACGGCGGGGCCGGGCCCCAGCCUGAGACAGUGGCCGGGCGCUCCCCAGAGGAUGGUGGGGCUGAGGCCAUGCUGCGGCUGCAGCAGGAGGUCUCAGGGCUCCGAGAGGAGUUCAGGAAGCAGGAGGCCCGCUGGGCGGCCACCCACCGUGAGCUCCGGGCCCAGAUGGAUGCGUUGGUGAAGCAGAACCUCGAGCUGCGGGCUGGGCUAAGGGCCUCGGAGCG
rnacentral:lncRNA from 1 species